rnacentral:rRNA from 1 species
GAAGGGGGCUUGCUCUCUGAUUCAGCGGCGGACGGGUGAGUAAUGCCUAGGAAUCUGCCUGGUAGUGGGGGACAACGUUUCGAAAGGAACGCUAAUACCGCAUACGUCCUACGGGAGAAAGCAGGGGACCUUCGGGCCUUGCGCUAUCAGAUGAGCCUAGGUCGGAUUAGCUAGUUGGUGGGGUAAUGGCUCACCAAGGCGACGAUCCGUAACUGGUCUGAGAGGAUGAUCAGUCACACUGGAACUGAGACACGGUCCAGACUCCUACGGGAGGCAGCAGUGGGGAAUAUUGGACAAUGGGCGAAAGCCUGAUCCAGCCAUGCCGCGUGUGUGAAGAAGGUCUUCGGAUUGUAAAGCACUUUAAGUUGGGAGGAAGGGCAGUAAGUUAAUACCUUGCUGUUUUGACGUUACCGACAGAAUAAGCACCGGCUAACUUCGUGCCAGCAGCCGCGGUAAUACGAAGGGUGCAAGCGUUAAUCGGAAUUACUGGGCGUAAAGCGCGCGUAGGUGGUUCGUUAAGUUGGAUGUGAAAGCCCCGGGCUCAACCUGGGAACUGCAUCCAAAACUGGCGAGCUAGAGUAUGGCAGAGGGUGGUGGAAUUUCCUGUGUAGCGGUGAAAUGCGUAGAUAUAGGAAGGAACACCAGUGGCGAAGGCGACCACCUGGGCUAAUACUGACACUGAGGUGCGAAAGCGUGGGGAGCAAACAGGAUUAGAUAC